rnacentral:rRNA from 1 species
UGCAUAUCAAAAGCGGAGGAAAAGAAACCAACAGGGAUUGCCCUAGUAACGGCGAGUGAAGCGGCAACAGCUCAAAUUUGAAAUCUGGCGUCUUUGGCGUCCGAGUUGUAAUUUGCAGAGGGCGCUUUGGCAUUGGCAGCGGUCCAAGUUCCUUGGAACAGGACGUCACAGAGGGUGAGAAUCCCGUACGUGGUCGCUAGCCUUUACCGUGUAAAGCCCCUUCGACGAGUCGAGUUGUUUGGGAAUGCAGCUCUAAAUGGGAGGUAAAUUUCUUCUAAAGCUAAAUACUGGCCAGAGACCGAUAGCGCACAAGUAGAGUGAUCGAAAGAUGAAAAGCACUUUGGAAAGAGAGUUAAAAAGCACGUGAAAUUGUUGAAAGGGAAGCGCUUGCAGCCAGACUUGCCUGUAGUUGCUCAUCCGGGUUUUUACCCGGUGCACUCUUCUACGGGCAGGCCAGCAUCAGUUUGGGCGGUUGGAUAAAGGUCUCUGUCAUGUACCUCCUCUCGGGGAGAACUUAUAGGGGAGACGACAUGCAACCAGCCCGGACUGAGGUCCGCGCAUCUGCUAGGAUGCUGGCGUAAUGGCUGUAAGCGGCCCGUCUUGAACACGGACCC